rnacentral:rRNA from 1 species
UUUGGGGGCGGAUCGUGGAGGGACACCAUAUACCACGACCGAACUCAUGGGGGUGAGUAGAGUGGCGAGGGGAAGCGCGUAGGUAACCUGCCCUUUGGUGGGGGAUAAUAGGAGUUAUUCUGGCUAAUACCGCAUACGUAGUACGAUAUGGGAAAAGUACUAGAAAGGAUGCCUCUACUUGUAAGAAUUCAGAGAGGGGUGGGCCUGCGGUGCAUUAGCUUGUUGGUGGGGUAAUGGCCUACCAAGGCGACGAUGCAUAGCUGGUCUGAGAGGAUGAUCAGUCACACUGGAACUGAGACACGGUCCAGACUCCUACGGGAGGCAGCAGUGGGGAAUAUUGCGCAUUGGGGGAAACCCUGACGCAGCAAUGCCGCGUGAGUGAGGAAGGCCUUCGGGUUGUAAAGCUCUGUCAGAUAAGAAGAAUGGUCACGGGUCUAAUAGGCCUGUGAUUUGACGGUACUAUCAAAGGAAGCACCGGCUAACUUCGUGCCAGCAGCCGCGGUAAUACGAAGGGUGCAAGCGUUGUUCGGAUUUACUGGGCGUAAAGCGCGCGCAGGCGGAUUAUUAAGCCAGAUGUGAAAUCCCGGGGCUCAACCCCGGAACUGCGUCUGGAACUGGUAAUCUAGAGUUAUAGAGGGGAGAGCGGAAUUUCGCAUGUAGGGGUAAAAUCCGUAGAGAUGCGAAGGAACACCAGCGCCGAAGGGGGCUCUCUGGCUAUUAACUGACGCUGAGGCGCGAAAGCGUGGGUAGCAAACAGGAUUAGAUACCCUGGUAGUCCACGCCGUAAACGAUGAGUACUAGAUAUUGGAGCCUUUGACCGCUUCAGUGUCGCAGCUAACGCAUUAAGUACUCCGCCUGGGAAGUACGGUCGCAAGACUAAAACUCAAAGGAAUUGACGGGGGCCCGCACAAGCGGUGGAUUAUGUGGUUUAAUUCGAAGCAACGCGCAGAACCUUACCUAGGCUUGAAAUCCCGAGAAGAUCGACCAAAAUUGAUUGUGCUCUUCGGAGAACUCGGUGACAGGCGCUGCAUGGCUGUCGUCAGCUCGUGUCGUGAGAUGUUGGGUUAAGUCUCGCAACGAGCGCAACCCCUAUCCUUAGUUGCCAGCAUUAAGUUGGGCACUCUAGGGAGACUGCCUGGGUUAACCAGGAGGAAGGUGGGGAUGACGUCAAGUCCUCAUGGUCUUUAUGUGUAGGGGUAUACACGUAUUACAAUGGGGUACACACAAAGACACGAUCAGGUGAGACUCAGCACAUCUCAAAAAGUGCAUCUCAAUCCGGAUUGGAGUCUGCAACUCGACUCCAUGAAGUUGGAAUGGCUAGUAAUCGCAGAUCAACACGCUGCGGUGAAUACGUUCCCGGGCGUUGUUCACACCGCCCGUCAAACCCGGGACCGAUCUUACCGAAGCCGUGCCGCAUGGUACCAGAGAUAUUCCAAUAGCUCGAUCUAUCCCCGUAG